ACGCCUCCGCUUAUCAGGUGAAUGACUGUAGGUUUCUCCCAGAAGGUCCUGUCCUACAACUGGGGUGACUCAACUGAGCUAAUCCUAGCCUCAGGAGCUUCAGGAAGACGAAGUAACUCCUCUAGUCCCCUGGAAUGAACUACCACUCCCCUGUCUGGGCCUAC